rnacentral:tRNA from 1 species
GGCCCGUUAGCUCAGUGGUUUGAGCGCGCUGCUGACAAUAAUAACCAACACCGAGGUCGCGGGUUCGAUUCCCGCUCGGUCCC